UAUACGUCUCUAAGGAAGAAGCUCGGCUUUGAAAUCUAAUAGAUGUCCCGCCAGUUCAAUAACCUCUUAAUAACGUCGACAUCCACAGACGUACACAACAACAUUAAUUGACAACAUUUCCCAAACAAUUUCCUACACAAAUAAGAAAAUCCUCAACUCCUCGACUCACUAACUUGCUACAAUGUACAACAUAACGCCGUUCGGAAAACUAUGUUUUCACGUUUCGUCCACUCGCCGCCAGAUGUCGCGUGCAUAGCUCGCUUCUAUCAUAUAAACGCGGCGGCGCGCCGCUCGUCUCAUUGGCCGGCACGACGCACGCGCGAUCACUACAGUGCCCCGAACCAAACUCGCGACCGUGCACUUAACGAACUGUUGUGUUGACUGUGCUAACAUGGAUAUAUUAACCCUAGACCCAACUGGACUUUAUUAGAAAAACAAACAGCCGCCGCCAUGGAUUCCACUCUGGACCCCACCGGUCAGUACUAAUCUAUAACCCCGCAUUUUUGUCCGAAUCCUAUAAGAAACUUAUUCAACAUGGACACGAAAGUACUCGAUCCUACUGGACAAUACUAAAGUGACAAUGAUCGGUUUAGACCCCACGGAAAUAUACUAAACCCCAUCUCCGAUGAGACAAGAUGUGUUGCGGAAGACGCAGGAUAUUCACUGGCACCAGUCCGCGGGAGACCUCCUCCUGUAGAAAGAGAAGGUUCGCCCCCGGCCACUGACGACCACUCAUCGCCUGUAAAUACUAAGAAUAAAAUGAAGGGAGGACGUGUUGGCAAGGUCAUUGGAUGGAAAUCAGCUGACUCGCGCGCCGCGUGCAAUCCGGAAAUGUACACCCAUAGAAACAACACCAACGUUUUCCACAGAAACAUUGCAACCCGCUGCCGAUACAGUUUGGACGACACUCAAAUUCAAUUCAAAUGUUAAAACGAGAGCCUCGGCCUUCAGCUUCACAUCUCUUCAUCACCCUCAUCAUCCAUCAUCCAUUCAUCCAUCAUCCAUUCAUCCAUCAUCCAUCAUCAUCCAUUCUCGUUCAUUAUCCCACUUCAUAUAAUUAAUACUCAGUAGCUAAUAAGUUUUUAUAUGACUGAUAUAAAUUUCUCAGGGAAUUAUUGCACAUAUCUCUAAAGCAUUUGUAUUUUUAUAUAAAUUAUUGAUAACUUUAUUAUAAUAAGCCAAUGUUAUUUUAUUGAUAUAUUAAAUAAAUUUACUACUUCUUUUUCUAGUUUUUAUAUCUUGUGUCAAUAAAGUAGCAAUAAAAAUGUAGAUAGUUUUAAGAAAAAAAACAAUGUUUUGACAAGCAAAAAGAGGCAAAGGGAUUUUAAAAGGUUUUCUUCACUUUGACUGUAUAUUUUUAAAAAGAAACCUUUAAAAAUUUACCGCACACUAUACAUAGAAAUUAUAUAUAAUUAGACUAUAAUAGUUCUUACUCCUAGUUAUGUAAUAUCUCAGCUCCUUGAAUACGUAACUUCCAACAAUUCGAGUUACCAUAUUAUACCUUCCGCUUCAGAAAUUGUAAAUAAAGUUGCAAUCCUUUUCCGCUCAUUAUUGUAUGCUCACUUACACUUUAUAUUUUAUCUCCAAACAUUAGUUUAUAUAAUCUAUAUGUAGAUAAAUUUAGAUAAGACUGCAUUAAAUAUAAGCGGCUACUUUUUAAAAUUCAGUGUUGCCAAUAAAGACUGAAUGAUUAAAAAAAAAUAUUGUUUUAACCCUCUUUCGCCCUUCUUUUGAUAAAAAGGUCCGGAAAGAAAUCCCACCCUAGGAUAGUUGAAAUGUAUAUCAAUAUUAAGAAAGUAAAGGCAUAAUAUAGGGGAAUAAAGAUGUUUAUAUUAUUAUGAAA